rnacentral:rRNA from 1 species
GUAGGUGGCAAGCGUUGUCCGGAAUUAUUGGGGCGUAAAUCGCGCGCAGGCGGUUCUUUAAGUCUGAUGUGAAAGCCCACGGGCUCAACCGUGGAGGGUCAUUGGAAACUGGAGAACUUGAGUACAGAAGAGGAAAGCGGAAUUCCACGUGUAGCGGUGAAAUGCGUAGAGAUGUGGAGGAACACCAGUGGCGAAGGCGGCUUUCUGGUCUGUAACUGACGCUGAGGCGCGAAAGCGUGGGGAGCAAACAGGAUUAGAUACCCUGGUAGUCCACGCCGUAAACGAUGAGUGCUAAGUGUUAGGGGGUUUCCGCCCCUUAGUGCUGCAGCUAACGCAUUAAGCACUCCGCCUGGGGAGUACGGCCGCAAAGGCUG